GGGGCAUGUAGCUCAGUGGUAGAGCGCAUGCUUUCGCAUGUGUGAGGCCCCGGGUUCAAUCCCCGGCAUCUCCA